UGGCGGCGUGGUUAAGACAUGCAAGUCGAACGGGAGAAUUGCUAGCUUGCUAAUAAUUCUCUAGUGGCGCACGGGUGAGUAACACGUGAGUAACCUGCCCCCAAGAGUGGGAUAGCCCCGGGAAACUGGGAUUAAUACCGCAUAAAAUCGCAAGAUUAAAGCAGCAAUGCGCUUGGGGAUGGGCUCGCGUCCUAUUAGUUAGUUGGUGAGGUAACGGCUCACCAAGGCGAUGACGGGUAGCCGGUCUGAGAGGAUGUCCGGCCACACUGGAACUGAGACACGGUCCAGACACCUACGGGUGGUAGCAGUCGAGAAUCAUUCACAAUGGGGGAAACCCUGAUGGUGCGACGCCGCGUGGGGGAAUGAAGGUCUUCGGAUUGUAAACCCCUGUCAUGUGGGAGCAAAUUAAAAAGAUAGUACCACAAGAGGAAGAGACGGCUAACUCUGUGCCAGCAGCCGCGGUAAUACAGAGGUCUCAAGCGUUGUUCGGAAUCACUGGGCGUAAAGCGUGCGUAGGCGGUUUCGUAAGUCGUGUGUGAAAGGCGGGGGCUCAACCCCCGGACUGCACAUGAUACUGCGAGACUAGAGUAAUGGAGGGGGAACCGGAAUUCACGGUGUAGCA
rnacentral:rRNA from 1 species